rnacentral:misc_RNA from 1 species
GUUUUUUUUAAUAAAAAAAAAUGUCAUCCAUAGUCAUCUUUUGGGGUGUGCAGGCGCAGCCAGAGCCGCUCCCACAACCACCCCACACAACACUCACAGUGCACAGUGGUAUACAGACCCACAAGGGGCCCAUACAAAUCAGCAAUGAUCCUUCCGCAGGUUCACCUACGGAAA